CUUUUUGUGCAUAAUGUAUAUAUAGGGGGGUGGUAGUACUCUUGGGGUAGAGAGGCAUGUGCUGGGAUGGCAUGCCAAGGCAUGUGCUGGGAUGGCAUGCCUUGGUGUGUGCUGGGAUGGCAUGCCAAGGACAAGCAUGUGCUAGGAAGGCAUGCCAAGGCCAAGCCAAGGCCAAGGCAAGCACAGGCAUUGUGAGCGAGACGAGACGGUUACGAUUACCCCAAGAGUGCCCAAGGGAGAGGAAGGUGUCAAACGCAUGCUGAGCCCCACUUCGGUAGUUUGGCACCCCCAUAGGCAUUCAGGCAAGCGUGCCUAUGGGAGAAGUCGGUUGAGCUUGUCAGCCAUGUUGGGUAUUAUUGUCUGAACGAGAUGAUGGCACAAGGAUGCUUGCUUUAAGGUAACGUUCCGGCAGCACAGCCAGCCCGCAAUUGCUAGUUCAAGCGGGUGGAAUCUGCCUAUAGGGGCGUUGCUUGCUUGUUGUGGAAUUGGGACACGCCCAAUAUCUAUCAUCAACCGAUGUAGUUCCUGCAUGGCCCCAUAGGUAUUCAGGCAAGCGUGCCUAUGGGUAAAGUCGCUAGAGCUUGCCAACACCCAUGUUAGCUGUAGUUUGGACCGAUGAUGGCACGAGGAUGCUUGCUUUAAGGUAACAUUCCGGCAGCACAGCCAGCCCGCAAUUGCUAGUUCAAGCGGGUGGAAUCUGCCUAUAGGGGUGUUGCUUGCUUGCUGUGAAUUUGGGACACGCCCAAUAUCUAUCAUCGACCCAACGAAGUGCUCAACAUGGGUUGCUGGGGGCUAUUUUGGCACUGACGGUUCACUUGUUUGCUUGGGUUUGAUAAACGUUUAGAUGUCAUGAUGCUUGGGAUCCAAUAAAUUUAUGUGGGAAGCUGAGAGGUGGAACCCAAUGUCAUUCACCAGACGGCUUAGCUUCGUCAGUGUGUAUAAUAUGUCAUUGAACCCCAAUCCUUGAUGCCAACCUGAUUAUGACUUUUGGAUUGCAAUUAUCAUGGCUAUCAAAAACUGAGUAGGAGUCAUGGAAUAAGUGAGCAGAUUGUAGCCUUUAUAGCUGUCAGCUUUCGCAUCGCCCGGUGUGUUUUGGGAAUCGCUUUGUGCAUUUGGUUGCCUGUCGUGCCUCUUGGCAUACGGUGGGUGCCACUUGCUGGGUGGUUUUUGGAAACAUCCACCGUAAAGGUGCAUGAGUGGUGUUUGGUUUGUUACGGGUGGUUGGCUCUUUGCUUGCGCAACAACUGCCACCCGACUUACCUCUUCAGAUGUUUGCCUAGGCUUGUAUAGCCUAAGCAGAUUGUGGGUUUCCUGUGUUGCCUACCUACGUCAAGGAAUUGUCCCGAUCGAUCAAAGUUGCUUUCGUCUUGUGUCGUCUUGAUGGCAUAAGAUGAACCAUGAAGCUGUCUCUUUGCACCGCAUCGUUAAUGCAUGCGUUGAUGUUGUGGCCCAUUGAGCAUUGCUUGGUACCUUGGAUACGGAACCUUAUGUGGGCAUGGGUCCUUGGGGAUCCUUGUUCUGCCCUCGUUUAGCGUUCGCGCUUCUCUUAGAAUGACUGCCUAGCCGGAAUGGAAACCCAUUGUGGAUGGGCAUCGUCAAAGAGGAAUGC
rnacentral:misc_RNA from 1 species